rnacentral:tRNA from 1 species
AAUCCGUCGACUUUAGAAAUCGUGAGGGUUCAAGUCCCUCUAUCCCCCC